rnacentral:rRNA from 1 species
UACGGGGGGGGCAAGCGUUGUUCGGAAUUACUGGGCGUAAAGGGCUCGUAGGUGGCCAACUAAGUCAGACGUGAAAUCCCUCAGCUUAACUGGGGAACUGCGUCUGAUACUGGAUGGCUUGAGUUUGGGAGAGGGAUGCGGAAUUCCAGGUGUAGCGGUGAAAUGCGUAGAUAUCAGGAGGAACACCGGUGGCGAAGGCGGGUCUCUGGGCCGAUACUGACGCUGAGGAGCGAGAGCGUGGGGAGCGAACAGG